UAGCCUAGUGGUUUAGGCUAUGGAUCGCCAAUCCGAAGACGGCGGGUUCGACUCCCGU
rnacentral:tRNA from 1 species